rnacentral:rRNA from 1 species
AGAGUUUGAUCCUGGCUCAGAUGAACGCUGGCGGCGUGCUUAACACAUGCAAGUCGAACGGGGAUGCCAUUUUCGAGGUGAUUAGUUUACUAAGAGCCAAGAUGUUGGCAUCUUAGUGGCGGACGGGUGAGUAACGCGUGGGUAACCUGCCUUAUACAGGGGGAUAACACUUAGAAAUAGGUGCUAAUACCGCAUAAGCGCACGGGGCUGCAUGGCCCAGUGUGAAAAACUCCGGUGGUAUAAGAUGGACCCGCGUUCUGAUUAGCUUGUUGGCGGGGUAACGGCCCACCAAGGCGACGAUCAGUAGCCGGCCUGAGAGGGUGGACGGCCACAUUGGGACUGAGACACGGCCCAAACUCCUACGGGAGGCAGCAGUGGGGAAUAUUGGACAAUGGGGGGAACCCCUGAUCCAGCGACGCCGCGUGAGUGAAAGAAGUAUUUCGGUAUGUAAAGCUCUAUCAGCAGGGGAAGAAAAGAAAUGACGGUACCUGACUAAGAAGCCCCGGGCUAACUACGUGCCAGCAGCCGCGGUAAUACGUAGGGGGCAAGCGUUAUCCGGAUUUACUGGGUGUAAAGGGAGCCGUAGACGGUUACGCAAGUCUGGAGUGAAAGGCGGGGGCCCAACCCCCGGACUGCUUUGGAAACUGUAUAACUGGAGUGCAGGAGCAGGUAAGUGGAAUUCCUAGUGUAGCGGUGAAAUGCGUAGAUAUUAGGAGGAACACCAGUGGCGAAGGCGGCUUACUGGACUGUAACUGACGUUGAGGCUCGAAAGCGUGGGGAGCAAACAGGAUUAGAUACCCUGGUAGUCCACGCCGUAAACGAUGAUCACUAGGUGUCGGUGGGUAUGGGCCCACCGGUGCCGCAGCAAACGCAUUAAGUGAUCCACCUGGGGAGUACGUUCGCAAGAAUGAAACUCAAAGGAAUUGAC